AGGACAAACGCUGGCGGCGUGCAUAAAACAUGCAAGUCGGACGAACAAAAUCCCGCAAGGGACUAGUUAGUGGCGAACGGCUGAGUAACACGUAGGUGACCUGCCCCGAAGUGGGGGACAACUCGCCGAAAGGCGAGCUAAUACCGCAUGUGACCACCGGUUCGUUCCGGUGCUCAAAGCAGUAAUGCGCUUCGGGAGGGGCCUGCGGCGGAUUAGCUAGUUGGUGGGGUAAUGGCCUACCAAGGCUUCGAUCCGUAGC
rnacentral:rRNA from 1 species